CGAACGCUGGCGGCGUGCUUAACACAUGCAAGUCGAACGCGAAAGUUUCUUUCGGGAAGCGAGUAGAGUGGCGCACGGGUGAGUAACGCGUAAGUAAUCUACCCUACCAUCUGGGAUAACCCACCGAAAGGUGUGCUAAUACCGGAUACGUUUAUGAUGUCGCAAGGCAUUAUAAAGAAAGGUGGCCUCUUCAUGAAAGCUACUGUGGAAGGAGGAGCUUGCGUACCAUUAGCUAGUUGGUAGGGUAAUGGCCUACCAAGGCGACGAUGGUUAGCGGGUCUGAGAGGAUGAUCCGCCACACUGGAACUGGAACACGGACCAGACUCCUACGGGAGGCAGCAGUGAGGAAUAUUGCGCAAUGGGGGAAACCCUGACGCAGCGACGCCGCGUGGAUGAUGAAGGCUUUCGGGUCGUAAAAUCCUGUCAGAUGGGAAGAAAUGCAUAUUAUUUAAUAUAUGAUAUGUUUGACGGUACCAUCAAAGGAAGCACCGGCUAACUCC
rnacentral:rRNA from 1 species